rnacentral:rRNA from 1 species
UGGGGAAUAUUGCACAAUGGGGGAAACCCUGAUGCAGCGACGCCGCGUGAGCGAUGAAGUAUUCGGUAUGUAAAGCUCUAUAAGCAGGGAAGAAUUAAGACGGUACCUGACUAAGAAGCACCGGCUAAAUACGUGCC